UUUUCAAUUCUCCAGCGUACUGCCGAGUGUCGAGCUGACCACCGCGAAUCUAUGUAAUGUCGACAAGAAUGUUGACGUUUAAUUCAGCUCGUCGGAAGCAAAGAAUACGCGCCGCACGAGUCUCGUGAAUAAUGUCAACAGUUUCCUCGUAACUUGCCGCACGCGAUCGUGAUAAUGUUACGCAUCACAGGGUUCACGUAAACUUGUAGACUUAAUGAACGAACGAUCUUUGUACGCGCGAGGGCUUUGGCUCGAACUGUGACGCGCCAUAUUGGUUUAAGAGAAUUGUUCAUGUUAGUGGGCUUUCGGUGAAUCAGUUGCAAAUGCACGUAGAAUAAUAGGGGUAUCGACAAUGGAAGAGACCAAAAUCAUUUAUCACAUUGACGACGAGGAAACCCCUUACCUGGUGAAGCUCACUAUCUCACCGGAAAGGGUCACUCUUGCCGACUUUAAAAAUGUCUUGAAUCGGCCGAAUUAUAAGUAUUUCUUCAAAUCAAUGGACGAUGAUUUUGGUGUGGUGAAGGAAGAAAUUGUAGAUGAUGAUGCUCACCUUCCCUGUUUCAAUGGACGGGUUGUUUCUUGGUUGGUGUCUGCUGAAGGUAGCAAUGUGUCUGAUGGUGCUUCACAAUGCACUGAUUCAGUGGCACACAGUGAAGCAAAGCAUGAUCGUGUUGAUCAUGUGACACCAGGUCACACAAAUCGUGGUCCACCACCACUUUCACAUGAUGACACUUUGACUGAAACUGAAAGUAUGAUAAGCAGUCAGCAAGGGCAUCAUUUACAUAAAAGUUCAAGACAUCAUUCAGAUAAAUAUGAAAAAUAUAACAAAUAUAAUGGGCUUCGUAUAAACGGUCACUCGAAACAUAGAUCAGGCCAUGGUUAUGAGACUGCUUCUAUUUUAAGUUCAGAUUUAGAGACAACAACCUUUUUAGAAUCGGAUGACGAUGCAAGUAGCCGUAUAACAUCAACAACGGGCAGACACACCAACAUGAGUAGCACAGUUGACAGAGCUACUUUAGAUCGGCGUCGACCGCAAAGAAGAAGGCGUCAUAGAUUACCACCUAUGUCUCGAACAUCAUCGUUCAGCAGCAUCACAGACAGCACAAUGUCUUUAAAUAUUAUCACAGUCUCAUUAAAUAUGGAUACUGUUAACUUCCUUGGAAUUAGUAUUGUUGGUCAAAGCAAUAAAGGUGGAGAUGGGGGAAUCUAUGUUGGUUCCAUAAUGAAGGGGGGGGCAGUUGCUAUAGACGGUCGAAUAGAACCUGGUGACAUGAUUCUCCAAGUAAACGAUAUUAACUUUGAGAAUAUGUCUAAUGACGAAGCGGUUAAAGUAUUACGCGAGGUAGUUCAAAAACCAGGACCAAUCAAAUUAGUUGUUGCAAAGUGCUGGGAUCCUAAUCCAAAAGGUUAUUUCACAAUACCGCGUACAGAACCUGUACGGCCUAUAGAUCCUGGUGCUUGGGUGGCACACACAGCUGCUAUAAGGGGUGAAGGUUUUCCUCCGCGUCCUCCAAGUGCUACGACCUUAACAUCGACAUCGAGUAGUCUUGCAAGUACCUUGCCAGACACAGAACGACCAUUGGAGGAACUUCACCUUACGGUGAACACUGAUAUGCCGACAGUAGUACGAGCAAUGGCUCGGCCUGACUCAGGGUUGGAAAUUCGUGAUCGUAUGUGGCUUAAAAUAACAAUACCAAAUGCAUUUAUCGGAGCAGAUGUAGUGGACUGGCUUCAUACUCACGUGGAAGGAUUCAUUGACCGUCGCGAUGCAAGAAAAUACGCUUCUCUUAUGCUGAAAGCUGGUUUCAUUAGGCAUACAGUGAACAAAAUAACAUUUUCUGAACAAUGUUACUAUAUAUUCGGUGAUUUAUGUUCAGCUAUGAGUAGCAUGAAACUAGAUUGCGAUACUGUCGGACCAUUACCUCCACCGAAUGCCUGGGACAUGCCUUAUUCAGGAACAUAUGCGCCUCAUUCCGCGACCGGUUACAGCCCGAUGCCGUUUAACUUCACUAACGAACCGACUGUGUAUGGUUAUCAUCGCGAAGAAAGUGUUCACAGUGGUUCAGGAGGCAGUAGCGCAGGUAGUGAACACAUUUGCAAAGAACCUAUUCACGAUUUGAAAUCCUGUUCUUCAGCGUCUGAAUCCGAAUUGCAUAUUCCAUCAGUGCCAACAAUGCCAAGUAAGAAUUCCGGAAAUGGGAACGGUUCAAACGGAAAGAGGUCGAACGGUAGUCGCAGUCGUUCCAGUGGUUCUGAACAGUCUGUGCAGACAGGAACUGGUUCAGGAAAUCAACAAAAUCAACAAGACUUAUCUGGUAGUAGACAGUCAUUUCGCAUUGCGAUGGGAAAUCCUUGUGAAUUCUUUGUUGAUGUUAUGUAGAUGCCGGUGUUGUAAAUAGAUGAGUUAUAAAUUUGAGCAGAAAAGAAAGCAAACAUAUAAAUUCAACACUUGAAUGAAUACUUCGAAACAUUUUAUGUGACAAUUUUGCAAGUUCACGUGAAUAUUAGAUUAUUCUCUUCAUUCUACCCUUAAUAUUACUGUUACAAUUUUCUUUCCAUUAACACGAAUAUUAAAUUGUUGAUAAUGCAUGUCUUCUGCCGUUCGUAAUCAAUAUUUCAAAGUAUUUAUUCACAGCCUUUUACAACUUGUUGUUUCAGGUUUAUAUAAUUGACAAUAGAGAUUUGAUUAAUUUGUUUAUACAUGUCGAUUCAACUUUGCAUUCCACUUUGUAUUAUAUACAGUAUCGAGCAAAGUAGAUUCCCCAGGUUCCUGGCCUUCCCAAUAGAUCUCCCGUGAUUCCCGGCAUCCAUUCAUACCCAUAGGCGUUCCCGAGAUAAAUAAUAAAAAGUUAUAUAUUUUUUUAAAAAUUUUAAUAUUAAUAUCGUCAAAAUUAGAAUUUGUAGAAUUCAUGUUUCCCCUGUAACAUCAUUUUUCCUAGGGAAAUCUACUUUGUUCGGUAUUGCACUUGACAACAGUAACGUGAUUAAAGUUCGUUUUUUAAUUAAAUGUAUUUCGUAUUCGUGAAAAUAUUUGCAUGUAACGUGUACAUAUAUAUUUACUAAUACAGUUCAGAAAUGUUGCAUCAGUAUAAUAAGAUGAGGAAGGUAUCUUUAUACUAUAACGAUAAUGUAUAAUGUUAUUUAAAUCCAUUAGCUCUUUGUAGCAGUUCACUUUUAUUAUUAUUUUAUCAAUACGAAAUUUUCAUUUUAAAAUAAUCGUGAAAUCCAUAUCCGAUGUAAUUGUUUUAUGCAAAGUCGUACAUUUAAACAAAUUUCAAAUAGAAUCGUAUAAUUACACUUUCAUUUAUAAUAAAUGAAACUACUACUUUUUGCAUGAGAUAUGCAACUGCUGUGUUGAAAUUUAGCAUACGUUUAAAAAAAUUGUGACUGGUACAGUUAUAUUAUUGUACGGGGAACUCAGUAUUUAAUAUCAAUAAUUAAUAAUGAUAAUUACAUUAUUAUAUAUAUACACUAUAAUGCACGCUUUAUGAUAAAUAUAUUACGUUGUAAUUGUUUAUGUAAAGCACGAUCGCACAAGAAGUAGAGCACAAGCAUGGUCAUGUAAAUAACACACAGUUUAUGUCGACGAAUUAAAGUAAUAAACUAUUACAACAAUUCGCUAUGUAAUGCAUGUAAAUUAUAAUUAUUUUAUACGAAAAGGUACGUAUUUUUAUUAAUAUUUUUCCAUUGCUUGCGUUCUAGGAUUGUCUACGACAAUGGGGCAGCUAUUUCUUUAAAAAUCGAGAGGAUAUUGUGUCGAAAUAUUAAACGAUUCACUAAUUAUUGCUUUUUAGAAACGCACUUUCUAAUCUGCUAUAAACGAAAACAAAAAUAUUAUAUAUAUACAUAUGUACAAAGAAAAUAUGCAAUAAAAAGUAUGUUAUUGUAUAUUUGGGCAAUUAUUGGUGAAUCAUUUAAAUAAUAUGGUUCAUGCGUAAAGGACGAAUUUUUCAUUGUAUUCCUACUAAUUCAAGUUAUUAUUUGGUAAUGAAAGAGAUUGUUUACAAUUAUGUUAUGUGGUAUUGCAUCACAGGUUCGACAAUAUGUAAAUAGAACGAAUUAUGCUCAUAUUAAAUGUGCCAUCUUAUCAGUGUUAGGAAGUAUUGAACAAAAAAGCAAACUGCGACAUAUAAUUUAUACAUAUACUAAGUGUUUCAACAUGAUUGAACAUCUUGAAAAUUCCAGAUUCUUCGUACUAAAGCAAAUCAAAGUGCUUUAUCGUUUUGUAAUAUGCAGCCCUCAUUUUAACACGUCAAUGUGUUAAAUGCAGAUUUCAAAAUAAUAAAGCACUUUUUGAUUUGCUUUCAUCUGAAGAAUUUGUAAUUUUCACUGUGUACAAUAUUUUUGAAACAUCAUGUAUAUACGUGCUUUCCAGGUGUAUGCAUUUCUUAAUUGUUUAUGUUUCAUUCAUGUCAUCUUAUCUAUAAUACGAAUUAUCUUCCGCAUCUCACAUACACAAGCUUAUUUAAUUUCAACAAUCUUUGUAACAUUUAAUUGCGUCUUGCCAUUGCGUUAUUAUUAUGUAAAUUUUUAUUUAGCAUAUCGAAAUAACGUGCCCUUUUUUUCUUUUAAAAAAAAAGGCCGCUAGAAAAUAUUUGCAUUCUAAAAGUGCAUUCGCGUCAUUAAAUUGUAAGACUAUCUGAAAUGUGGUAUAAUUCUUUCGAACGUUUCGCGUUUUUCCUUUUUUUAUUUACACGAACGAUCAUUUCCAUUACUUUCUAAAUAUUUAUCAAGCGUAUAAAGAAUAUUAUUAAUAGCAUUUUUAUAUGUGUAACAUGGAACCAUGUUUGAAACUUUUGUGCAAUUUUCCAAAAUGAAAACUAAAUCUUUUCCUUGGCAUUUUAUAAUCAUCAAUAUGGUAAACAGAUAGGUGAUAAAGAAAGUUUGUCCUUAUAACGAAAUAAAAAGUUUCAUUGGAAAAUUGCACACUGUCGUUCAAUCAUUCAUUUCAACGAGUGUUUUUCAUUUCACCACCGAUUAUGUAAUUCGAUAAUUAAGAGGGUAAUUAACGCAAAACUUAUGAUACCAACUAUUAUAUAAUUAUUCUGUAAAAUAUAUACAUAUAUUUUAUGUUGCAGACAGGCUGUACAGUAUGUCUGAGAAACGCAAAAUUGUUCAAACGACGAAGUUUCGUUAAAGCUAGAAACGUUAGUCAAGAAGGAGGACAAAAGAAAGGAGGAAGUGAUAUACAUGUACAAAUUUUGUGGCUCGCAGACAUACUAAAGAAAUUUCGUUCAUUUUAUUUUCUAUUUAUUGUGCCGCUCUAAAAAAAAAAAGGACUUGCUGCUUUCUGUCAUAACAUAACAAACGACUCAAUUCCCUUUGCAACUUAAGUUGCGCGUUAUGUGGAUUACAUCAAUGUCAGAGACGUAAUCGGGUCAUUUUUGUGCCUUGUGCUGCGCUGACGGUCGACGCAGAACGGCGUAUGCACGAGGAAACUUGUACUAGCGAUUUGGACAACAAUAGCAGAGGCAAUAUCUAUGAAGAGGACAUUUUGGAGUACCAGUUUCUGCACAAGUGAAGACGCUCGUUAGCGCACUACGUAUACGUAACGGUGGUAAUAGAGGAGUUGGGAAGAAGGAAAUUAAGGUAUAAUUUUCACUUGACCUUGAUUAGAUGGACGGAAGUAGCACUGGCGAAACAUAUAUAUAAAUAUAUAUAUUUAAUAGGCCAAUUUUGAUAAAGCGUCAUAGAGGAUAAAAAAAGGAUUCAACCUCUCGUAUAAUUUGUAACGGUUAUACAUAAAAUAGAAUUAAGGUCAUCGAAUUUCUACCGUGGUAUUUCAAAUAUCACACACGAGAAUUAUAUAUGUUUAUAACGCGAUCCCAAUUGAAAAAUGAUACCGGGUGAAGCGUGUUUUCUUUAACGCAGGGUGCAUGCAAGAUUGAGAAUAUUGUUAACUCGAUACGCGAAUUGUUUUAUAAAAUUAUAGCUACUCUUGUUUCUUCGCCUUCGAACGUACGCAAGGAUAUCUUUUAUUGUUCCUUGCGAUGAUAUGUAUAUUUUUCAUAUGUUCUCCUGAAAAAAUGGAAUUAAUCUAGACGACUUUUGUAUUUCGUUCGCUUGUGUAACUUUGAAAUUUUCAUGAAUGACAAACGUGUUACAGUAUUGUACACUGUACUUUUAAUUAUACGGGUAUGUGAGCAUCAAAUAUGUAAAGUUGAAACUAACGAUUUUGCGUAUACCGAUUAAAAACGCUAAGGUAAAGAUGAUAUUCGCAAGAAACAAAUUCCUGAUUUGUUAGUACAACGUACACGACUGCAAAUACUUCUCUUGUAACCAAUCGUUUAAACCCUUGCUAUGAAUGAAGAAAAAAAAUUAAUUAGUAUGAAGCAUACUUGUAUACGGACAAGUUAUUAAGAUAUUUUUCAUCGAAUUUCUCAUCCAAAUUGUCGAUUCACGAAACAAUAAUUUUACAAUAAUUAUUCGCACACAGAUUUGUCUGCUUUAUACUAAGUAAUUGAAGGACUUCGUUGUACGUACGAUUUCUUAUUUUUUCAUGCUAUUUCAAUCAAUUAAUCGAUACAAAAAGAAGGCAAUACGUAAAUAAACUGUAAUAAAGAUAGGGUUGUAUAAAUUCGUAAAAAAAAAAAA